rnacentral:misc_RNA from 1 species
GGGAUUGCCUCACUCUUCUCCCUCUCCAAUCCCUAACCCUAAUCCCCCCAUGGCAGUCAUGGCGACCUCCUCCCUCUCCUCUGUCCACUCCUCCUUCAUCAACAACCACCACCAUUCCGCCUUCCCCCUCCCUUCCACCAAGCCCCUCUCCGCCCGUUCCCGGGUCGCCCCCGCCGCCGUCAAGCCCAUCUCCGCCUCAUCCUCCUCCGCCUCCAAGUACGACCUCUCCGCCUUCACCUUCGCCCCCAUCAAAGAAUCCAUCGUUGCCCGCGAGAUGACCCGCCGCUACAUGACUGACAUGAUUACCUACGCCGACACCGAUGUCGUUAUCGUCGGCGCCGGCGCCUCCGGUCUCUCCUGCGCUUACGAGCUCUCAAAGGACCCAUCUAUCAACAUCGCUAUCAUCGAGCAGUCCGUCUCCCCCGGCGGCGGUGCUUGGCUGGGUGGGCAGCUCUUCUCUGCCAUGAUUGUCCGCAAGCCGGCCCACUUCUUCCUUGACGAGCUAGAGAUACCUUACGAUGAAGCGGAUACAUAUGUCGUCAUAAAACAUGCCGCCCUCUUCACCUCCACCAUUAUGAGCCGCCUCCUCGCCCGCCCGAAUGUGAAGCUCUUCAACGCUGUCGCAGCUGAAGAUCUCAUAGUAAAAGAGGGGAGAGUUGCCGGCGUUGUCACCAACUGGGCUCUGGUGUCGAUGAACCACGACACACAGUCCUGCAUGGACCCAAAUGUCAUGGAGGCGAAGGUCGUUGUCAGCUCAUGCGGGCAUGACGGCCCUUUUGGUGCCUCCGGUGUGAAGCGCCUGAAAGAUAUCGGCAUGAUCGACGUUGUCCCCGGCAUGAAGGCAAUUGAUAUGAACACUGCUGAGGAUGCGGUUGUGCGCUUGACUAGGGAGGUGGUGCCGGGGAUGAUCAUCACUGGCAUGGAGGUGGCGGAGGUCGACGGAGCUCCCAGAAUGGGGCCGACUUUUGGAGCUAUGAUGAUCUCGGGGCAGAAGGCGGCGCACCUGGCGUUGAAGGCUCUUGGGCGAGGGAAUGCGCUGGACGGGAAGGUGGCGCAGCCGGAGCUUGUGUUGGCCUCAUCGGAGGGGGGUGUUGUGGAGGCUUAGAGUUUGGGAGCCUGUGUUACCCAUUGGAGGGGAUGUUGUCAUGGGUUAGAGUUUGUGAGCUUGUGUUAGUGGGAGGUGACGACGAGGAAGAAUAAGACACGUAUCCUUGUUGCUUUGUUUUUUCUUUUUCUUUACAAGUUCAGAUUGUUUUUAGUGAGGGAUGUCUUUUGGCAUGUGACAACCAAAUGCUGCCUCUUUAGCUCGUACAUAAAUAUAUGGUUAUUUUUUAAUGUACGGUGGUCUUUAUCCCGUACAUAAAUAUAUAAUUGCUUUUAAUGUACGGUUGUAUUUAUCCGAUUGGUUUGUCCGUACAUAAAUAUAUGGUUG